CGCCCCGUCGCCUCGCCUCCACACCUCCCCCUUCCUUUCUUCCCCGACACACCUCGUCCCGUCUCUUCUGCCGCCAACGCGCGCCCCGCACCACCGCCACCACGGCGAGCGGCCGCGCGCCGCCGAUCCGAAGGCCGCGAACCGAAACCCUAGCGCCUCCGGCGUGGCGCGCCGCGGCAAUGGAGGUGGAGCACCUCUCACCGUCGCGAUGGCGCGGAUCAGCCGCCUCCGCCGCUGUCCCCGAUGUCGCGCGCGCGCGCGCUCUGCUCCCGCAUGGAGGGAGGGAAUGCGCAGAAGGAUUGCACACCUUUGUAUUAAUCAGGAGUAAAAUACCAUCAGUAUGCCGUAGCGGCUGCUCAAUCCCAGGAAGGGAUAUAAAUUACAAGGUUGUUAUCUCACAACUUCUGGGUGAGAUGACUCUGUGCUUGUAGUUUGCUUGCAAUGUGGUCCGAAACUUCUGGGUGUGUAUAACUAGCUAGGACACCAACCUGAAUUUUAUCCAUAUACAUUUGUCC